ACAAACAGGAAAUACUCUCUUCGUGACUGCAACAGCCAAACAACGCCCUACAACAAACCACACAAACACAAAUCUCUAAGAACCAAAAGGACAGAAACAUCAAAAAAAACUACAGCCUCAGAAACGAAGCCCUAAAACAUAAACUAACCGUUAUAUUCUUAAUCCCUACGGUGAAAAGCAAAAUUUAGACUUCACGAAGCUCCCCACAAUAUUUGGUGCCGAUCGGAGAAACGAUGAAACCACGAUCGCACUUACAAACUCCGCUGAUCCCAGUUCGCAACAGAGAAAACGCGUCUCACCAAACUGCAUAUAACUCACUGAAUAUUAAUCCGAAUUCAUUUCCGUAAAAAGGAGAAUCAACGUACACGCCUUAAGAACAAACCUACCAAAAUUCAUUACCUUUCGAUAAGAUUUGAUACGUCGUAACUCUAUUCUACCAGAACGUGACGAAUCUGCUUCUCUUACCUUAAACACCAAAGCAAAGCUAACACUCUCCUUUUCACAAGUAAACUUCUCCUUCUCCUUUUCUCAACUCAACUCUCAGAAACAACAGCUACAAAACAAAAGAGAGAAGAAGCGUUCUUUAUAAAACUAGGGUUUUUGGUUUAAUUUUGAUUAAACCAGAAUUUACCUAAACCGACUUUAAUUAAACCUGCUUUGGUUCAAUUAAACAAAUCGACCAGUUUAGAAAAUCAACCGUAUCUUCUCUGAAGUCUCCUGAACAAAAUCCGCACCAUAAAUGCUCCUCUCCCCCACUUGAGUCCAGCAUAGAGGUGUCCGACAUGGCCUCCCAUACAACGCCUCAUAAGGAGCCAUCCCAAUACUCGCCUGGUAGCUAUUAUUAUAAGCAAACUCCACCAAGCUCAAGUGAUCUGCCCACUGACCACCCCAGUCUAACACACACAUUCUCAACAAAUCCUCAAGUGUCUGAAUGGUCCGCUCAGACUGCCUGUCUGUCUGAGGGUGGUAAGCCGUGCUCAAAUGCACCUUAGUACCCAUCUCCUUCUGGAAAGCCUUCCAGAACACCGAAGUGAACUUCGAAUCCCGGUCUGACACAAUACUGGCCGGUACUCCAUGAAGUCUCACAAUCUCCUGCACAUACUUCUUAGCUAGCACUGCCGCUCCAUCGGUUUUCUUGAUAGCCAAGAAAUGUGCAGACUUAGUCAAACGGUCCACAAUGACCCAAAUGGCAUCCUUGAACCGAGACAUUGGCAACCCUACCACGAAAUCCAUCGUGAUCAUGUCCCAUUUCCACUCUGGGAUAGGGAGAGUCCGCAAUAAUCCACUCGGCACCUGAUGCUCAGCCUUCACUAGCUGACAUACUUCGCACUCAGAGACCCAUUUAGCUACGUCUCUCUUCAUCCCGACCCAAUGAUAAUACCGCUUCAGAUCUCGGUACAUCUUGGUCGCUCCUGGAUGAAUAGAGAACCUACUCGCAUGAGCCUCACUCAAGAUCUCUCGUCUCAACUCCUCAUCCUUGGGCACACAAACUCGCCCAUGCACAAGGAUAGUCCCAUUGGCUGCAACCUGAUACUCUGACUCAGUAUCCUUAGAAGCAUUAACCAGCCCUGCAUCCUUCUCCUGAGCCGCUCGAACUCUGGUCAGAAGGUCUGCUUGGUUAGCUGCUUCUAACCCUAGUGGCUCCUGAGAAAUAGCACACAACCGCAAGGUGCUAAGUUCUCCCACCAAGGUCUCCAUAUCCUGCCCUCGAGCUGAAGCCGCGGCUCAGAGCAUCUGCAACCAGAUUAGCCUUACCGGAAUGGUAAGCUAUCUCCAGAUCAUAGUCUGCAACCAACUCCAUCCAGCGCCUCUGCCUCAAGUUCAACUCAGGCUGCGUGAAUAUAUACUUCAGACUCUUAUGAUCUGUAAACACCUGAACCUUCGCUCCAUACAGAUAAGAUCUCCAAAUCUUCAGAGCAAAGACCACUGCUGCCAUCUCCAAAUCAUGAGUAGCGUAGUUGCCCUCAUGCUUCCGCAACUGCCGCGAAGCAUAGGCGAUCACCUUACCCUGCUGCAUCAACACACAACCCAAACCAACUCCCGAAGCGUCCGUGUACACCACAUACGGCUCUCCCUGCUCCGGUAAAGCCAAAACCGGCGUACUCGUCAACAUAUCCUUGAGUUGAGCGAAACCCUGCUCACACUCAGGAGUCCACACAAAAGGAACAUCCUUCCCCGUCAACUUGGUCAUUGGCUGAGCUGUACUGGCAAAGCCCUUCACAAACCGUCUGUAGUAACCCGCCAAUCCUAGAAAACUCCGUAUCUCUGUGGCAUUCUGCGGUCUAGGCCAAUCUCUGAUAGCCUCAAUCUUCUCUGGAUCCACAGAAAGUCCCUCUACAGACACGAUAUGACCCAGAAAACACAUCUUGCUCUACCAGAAACUACACUUGCUCAGCUUAGCAUACAGCUUCUGGUCCCGCAGCUUCUCCAACACUGCCCGCAAGUGUAUCUCGUGCUCCUCAGGACUCUUAGAAUACACCAGGAUAUCAUCAAUGAAGAUGAUGACAAACUCAUCCAGAAACGCCUGGAACACGCUGUUCAUCAGCCUCAUAAACGCCGCUGGUGCAUUAGUCAACCCGAAAGGCAUCACCACGAACUCAUAAUGCCCAUACCUCGUCCUGAACGCCGUUUUAUGGAUAUCUGCCUCGUCGAUAGGAAUUUGAUGGUACCCCGACGCCAAAUCGAUCUUAGAAAACCAUGUAGCUCCCCUCAACUGGUCCAACAACUCGUCAAUCCGCGGCAAAGGAUACUUGUUCUUCACCGUGACUCGAUUAAGUCCCUUGUAAUCGAUACACAGCCGGAAACUCUCAUCCUUCUUCUUAAAGAAAAACACCGGUGCUCCCCACGGUGAAACACUAGGACGGAUGAAACCCUUGCCCAGCAGAUCCUCCAACUGUUUCUUCAGCUCAGCCAUCUCUGCUGGAGCCAUCCGGUACGGAGCCUUAGACAACGGCGUUGUCCCGGGCUCCAACUCAAUCGUGAAGGGAUCAGACCGAGAUGGUGGUAACCCCUUUAACAGCUGAAACACAUCCUCGAACUCCUGGACCACCCAGAUCUUAUCCACUACUACCUCAUCGACCGUCUCUAGCAUGACAAUCGUAGCCAAAUAAGCUUCCCGUCCCUUUCGGAUCAUCUUAUCCGCCUGAAUCGCCGAAAUCACUAAACUCCCUGAAAUCGGUCUCACACCCUGGAAAUACAUCUUCGGUCCGGGACGCUCGAAGUAUACUCUCCCCCGGUGACAAUCCAGAUGAACUCUGUGCCGCUCCAACCAAUCCGUGCCCAGAAUUACAUGAUACAACUCCAUCGGACUAAUGUAUAGAUCUGCCGGCAUCGACUCUCCCGCAAUCUGUACAUCCACACCACUAGCCCGCCACUGAACCGCUAGCAAAGCGCCUCCUGCGACUCUAACGGCUCCAUAACAACCAUCGGGAUCUCCUCGGAUGUUACCACCCAUCGCGCACUCUGGGGUAAUGAAGCUAUUCGUAGCUCCAGAAUCAAACAUCACGUGGGACAAGAACCCGCCCACCAACAGGGUCCCUACACAAACCCUUUUCACUAAGACCGCCCACCCCAAAAUCACAGGAAAACAACACAAAUUCUAAAACAACGGAAGGAAACCAAAUGAGUCUUAGAAUUAAACCUGUUAUCGGCCGUCCAGUGCUUGGCUCUCCUGUCUCCACGGUCGUAUACCCCCUCGAUCCCUCGAUCUAUGCCACCGGCGGUGCUCCCAGCUGAGCCAACGACUGCCCUGCCAGCUGCAAUCCUGGCUGCACCCACUAUUGCAUCACUGGCUGCAUCACCGGCUGCACCGCUGCUACCGCCAUCUCCUGCAACUUAGGACAUCUCGUCUUAAUGUGCCCCGUCUCUAUGCAGUGAUAACAGACACGUGUAUCCACCCACGGCUCGCCCUUCUUCGGGCAGCUCGCCACACUGUGAUCCGUGCUCCCACACCUGAAGCACCUCCGAACACCUUGACUUACCCUGGAAGUGUCAUCCCACUUCCUCUUCUGUCCCUGAGCAGGUUUGCCACCUCUGCUCGGAACCGACUGCGGCUGGGUCUUCUUCGGCUGCGCCGAUGGACUAGGAAUCACCCCGUGACUCCUCAACUCGUCCUCGAUCCCCGCCGCCACUUCAACCAGCUCCAUACGCGAUGCAUAAGCCCGCACCUUGCACCGCACCCUCAUAUCAGGGUUGAGACCCUUCAUGAACCGACGCACCUGCAUCUGCUCAGGAUCUCCCGCACGCCCCGAGUACACCAAAAGUCGGCUGAACUCCGAGUCGUACUCCCGCACCGACCGCUCGCCCUGAGUCAACGCCAGGAACUGCGACUCCAUCCGGUCCAGUGCCUCCGCCGGAAAAUACUUGGCAUUAAACUCUGCCAAGAAAUCUCCCCACACCGCCAAUCCCUGCCCCCUCUUGGCCAGCACACUCCGCCACCACAAAUGUGCAUCACCCGCCCAGUAGUGGGCCGCUAGGUCCACCCGAUACGCCUCUGGGCAUCUCAUCGACUGGAAAUACCGCUCCAAUCGCACCCGCCACUCAUCCGCUAUGGCUGGGUCGGAACCUCCGAAGAACAAGGACAUCCCGAACCGUUGCAGCUGCUCCAACAUCCGCAGGUAGUACGGCUGCUCAACCACCGCACCUACCCCCUCAGGCGGUACAACCCCAACAACAGGCUGCACACCAGGCACAAGAGGAGCCUGCACCUCAGACCCAACAGGAGCCUGCUACUCAGGCCCAACAGGAGCCUGCACCGGCAGUACCACACCCGGUAACCGCUCCAAGAGCUGCGUCAGUAAAUCCGCAAGUCGAUCAUUCUGACCCUGGGCUGCACCUGUUGGAACACCCCCAACCGGGUUUCCAACAACACUAGUACCGUUCCCGGACGAACUGGCUCCCACGGCACUCACACUCUCACCACCCACGAGCCCGUCCUGAUGCGACUGAGACUCACCAACAAAAUCGGCCGUAGCAUUCCGGCCCACACUCGUGUCGCUACCCGAGGCAACACCACGCCCCCUACCACGACCACGCCCACGACCACGACCACGACCACGACCGACAGCUCCACCUCUAACCAUCUACAACACAACAGAAUGCUAAGAACACCAAACAAAUAACCAAACGACACAACUUACCGUGGAAUCUCAUUGAAGGCUCGAGAGGAUGAUCUAGGUCUCCAUGCUCACACAAUUGAUUAAACACACAAUCAAUCAGCAUGAAAUUCACAUCAUCAUUCCUCAUCAAUGAAAUUCACACAUCACAUCAUAAUUUUUACCAAUUAAAUCUCGUACUAGAACCGUAAAUGCUCUACUACCAAAUUGAAAGAACCCGUCCCAUUUUUUUUCUUUUAAACAUGCAAACCGGAUUAACCCAAUUAAUUCGAACCAGCUAAACCGGCCAUAAUAAUUUAAAUCAAUUAAACCAAGCAAUCUCAUUAAAAUAAACCAACAAUAUUAUCCAGCGGAAGACUUAACCAAAAAUCCAAUAAAACAAUUCCAUUAAUCCAACAAGUUGAACCAAACAUUAUUCCAAAACAUGAUCAUCCUAACAUGUUUCUAAAUUCCAUUCUAACACCCUAACAAAUCCAACAAUAAUCUAAAACACCAAUGAAUGCCUAGAUCAUCCUCCUCUCCUCGCCAUGAUUCCACGGAUCACACUUUGCUUUUACCUGCAUCAAAGAAAGAGAUGCAUAAGUAUUUCAUAAAUACUUAGUGAGGGCGAUCCUCCCAUCAACGAGCUAUACACACAAGCAAUGAGACAACACCCACAUAUAUAACAAAAACAAACCAUCCAGCAAUCUAAACAUCCAAUAACACAUCCAGUUCACCUACAAAUCAUCACACAACAAGUCACUCAAUCCCAAUCGCUUAGAUAAGCUCAUGGUCACGCACUCACCUUAACAAGGUGAUUUGAAUUAAAAAACAACCAGGAAAUACUCUCUUCGUGACUGCAAUAGCCAAACAACGCCCUACAACAAAUCACACAAACACAAAUCUCUAAUAACCAAAAAGGACAGAAACAUCAAAAAAACUACAGCCGCAGAAACGAAGCCCUAAAACGUAAACUAACCGUUAACUUCUUAAUCCCUACGGUGAAAAGCAAGAUUUAGACUUCACGAAGCUCCCCACAAAAAUUUGGUGCCGAUCGGAGAAACGAUGAAACCACGAUCGCACUUACAAACUCCGCUGAUCUCAGUUCGCAACCGAGAAAACGCGUCUCACCAAACUGCAUAUAACUCACUGAGUAUUAAUCCGAAUUCACUUCUGUAAAACGGAGAAUCAACGUACACGCCUUAAGAACAAACCUACCAAAAUUCAUUACAUUUCGAUAAGAUUUGAUACGUCGUAACUCUAUUCUAUCAGAACGUGACGAAUCUGCUUCUCUUGCCUUAAACAUCAAAGCAAAGCUAACACUCUCCUUUUCACAAGUAAACUUCUCCUUCUCCUUUUCUCAACUCAACUCUC
rnacentral:lncRNA from 1 species